GGGGGUGUAGCGCAGCUGGUUAGCGCGCCGGCCUGUCAAGCCGGAGGUCGCGAGUUCAAUCCUCGUCGCUCCCG
rfam:Spirochaetes bacterium GWB1_48_6 gwb1_scaffold_3900, whole genome shotgun sequence.